GCCCGCGCAAGGAAAGACGUGGAGCAGUCCGCGAUCUUUGGGAGUUGACGACUCUCCGCCCCCA
rfam:Mosquito flavivirus gene for polyprotein, complete cds, strain: YDFV/Oct/2013